rnacentral:lncRNA from 1 species
UUUUUGUUUGUUUCAUAUAUGUAUAGUUCGUCUAUCGGGUGCUUCCAGCCGGCGUCAUCCGCGAGUAUCCCAUCUAUUCUCUCGGCCCUGAAUGAAUCAAGCUCGCGGCUGUUCGAUUCUAGGUGGUCGACAUGUGCAUGAUGGAUGCACGCAGCUGGCUGCUAACGGCAACUGCUAAUUACUCAGUCAUCCAUGGAAAUGCUCUCUGGUCAAAACUUUGGUGAAACAACACCCACCAAACACAUGUAAAACUAAGAAAACAUUGAUAUUAAGAAACUGCAGUAUUACUUGUCCAUCCAUGAAAAACUGUGGUUUUUAAUUACCACGGUUUUCUAAAAACUUUCCUGCCAAACUAAGAGUUAAGAAGUUGUAAGGAUGUUUGUUUUCAGUGGCAAGAGAAGAAGUUGACAUAGAGAAGGACGGUUGUAUGAGGCAGUGGCACCAAAUAUCCAUGUUCAUCCUUGUUCUUGAUAGAGUUGCGAGACAUGAGAGGCAACAUGAUGAAAAAGAAGAUGAGCUACGACCUAGCUCCAAGAUUCUUCUAGGCGAAGGACGCACCAGAUGUCUGUUGUCGCCACCACACAUUAAGGUUCGUCGUCCUGCAUUGAACCAACUUCAAAGUAUCAUGCGACCACCACGUGUGACUCUUCAUCAUCCCCACGUAGGGCGAGCCGUAAAAUACAGAGCACAUCCGCGGGGAGAUCCCUUAUUAGGUUGCAACCUGAUCUGAGAUCGUCGUGCUACUGUUGGGCUGCUAACCCCACUAGUAGGCUUAUUAGCUCCUCUUUCCAUUGUCGUUCAUGGAGUAACAUAGACGCAAGGGAGAUCCUUACACUCCGUAUGACUAUGCAGAAUCCCGGUCACUCUCAAUCCUAAAGCCUUAUGACCAUUUGAAGCAUAAUAUCGGGUCCAUUAAUUACACACUAUGCACUAGUGCCUUCACUCAAAUAUUGAGUUCGAUGUAUG